CCGAGCGGCCUCUACGUCAGCGCCCCGGGUGGCGCCGCCUCCGCCCGCCGGCCUGGGCCGCCGCUCCGCCGCGGAAAGGCGGGCCGGGACCGCGGAGAGAAGGCGGGCCGGGAACCCGCCGGGGCCUAAGUGGGUCUGCGGAUCCCGCCAGGGGCCAGAUCGGGCCUGGGGACCCCGCUGGGGAACAAGGUGGCACACUUGGCGAACCUCAGCCAGACACCUCCGGAUAUUGCUGCCACUUUAGAGCCCCUGCCCCGCAAUCUACCUUCUGUCUCUGUGAACACGACUCCUCUGGGGACCUCGGAGAAGUGGAGUCACAGGAUUUGUCCUUUAAUGACCGUUCACGGAGCAUGAUGUUCUCAAGGUUCAUCUACAUUUUAACUGUCAGGAUAUUCUUCCCUUUAAGCCUGAGUGAUACUCUAUGGUGUGGAGUGACAUCUGGUGUGUCCAUUCAUUACUGGGGGACAGUUGAGUUGUUCCCACCUUUUGACUAUAGUGUGAAUUAUUCUGCUGUAAACGUGUAUACAAAUAUCUGUUUAAGGCCCUGCUUUCAGUUGUAUGUGUGUAGAAGUGGAAUUGCUGAAUCAUAUGGUAUUUCUAUUUUUAACUUUUUGAGGAACCACCAUAUUGUUUUCCACAGCACUGCAUGGAUUCAGUCAAUAGAGCCCAGGGUUCUGACUUCUCCACAUCCUUGUCAACAUGUAUUAUUUUCUGGUU